UGCCAGCAGCCGCGGUAAUACGAAAGGGGCAAGUGUUAUUCGAAAUUAUUGGGCGUAAAGAGUACGUAGGCUUUUUAUUCAGUUAUUUGUUAAAGACCUUAGCCCAACUAAGGUAUAGCAUUUAAUACUAAUAAAAUAGAAUGAGAUAGAAGAUAAUGGAAUUUCUAAUGUAGGAGUAAGUCCCGUAGAUAUUAGAAGGAACAUCAGUGGCGAAGGCGAUUAUCUAGAUCUUCAUUGACGCUGAGGUACGAAGGCGUAGGUAGCGAACAGGAUUAGAUA
rnacentral:rRNA from 1 species